GUCAGUCUUCGUCCAGGGGGCCGCCUUCGCCACCGGUAUUCCUCCAGAUCUCUACGCAUUUCACCGCUACACCUGGAAUUCUACCCCCCUCUACGAGACUCAAGCCUGCCAGUUUCGGAUGCAGUUCCCAGGUUGAGCCCGGGGAUUUCACAUCCGACUUGACAGACCGCCUGCGUGCGCUUUACGCCCAGUAAUUCCGAUUAACGCUUGCACCCUCCGUAUUACCGCGGCUGCUGGCACGGAGUUAGCCGGUGCUUCUUCUGCGGGUAACGUCAAUCGACGCGGUUAUUAACCNCAUCGCCUUCCUCCCCGCUGAAAGUACUUUACAACCCGAAGGCCUUCUUCAUACACGCGGCAUGGCUGCAUCAGGCUUGCGCCCAUUGUGCAAUAUUCCCCACUGCUGCCUCCCGUAGGAGUCUGGACCGUGUCUCAGUUCCAGUGUGGCUGGUCAUCCUCUCAGACCAGCUAGGGAUCGUCGCCUAGGUGAGCCGUUACCCCACCUACUAGCUAAUCCCAUCUGGGCACAUCUGAUGGCAAGAGGCCCGAAGGUCCCCCUCUUUGGUCUUGCGACGUUAUGCGGUAUUAGCUACCGUUUCCAGUAGUUAUCCCCCUCCAUCAGGCAGUUUCCCAGACAUUACUCACCCGUCCGCCACUCGUCAGCNAAGCAGCAAGCUGCUUCCUGUUACCGUUCGACUUGCAUGUGUUAGGCCUGCCGCCAGCGUUCA
rnacentral:rRNA from 1 species